rnacentral:tRNA from 5 species
GGUAAAGUGGUCUAAUAUUAGGAUAUAGGGCUCAUGCCCCUAAGGCGCCACGCGUAAUGGCCUUUAUCU